UACGAGGGGGGCAAGCGUUGUUCGGAAUCAUUGGGCGUAAAGGGCGCGUAGGCGGCCUGGGAAGUUCUGGGUGAAAUCCCUCGGCUCAACCGAGGAAGUGCCUGGGAAACCACUGGGCUGGAGUGCUGGAGAGGGAAGCGGAAUUCCUGGUGUAGCGGUGAAAUGCGUAGAGAUCAGGAGGAACAUCUGAGGCGAAGGCGGCUUCCUGGACAGACACUGACGCUGAGGCGCGAAAGCUAGGGUAG
rnacentral:rRNA from 1 species